AUUGAACGCUGGCGGCAGGCCUAACACAUGCAAGUCGAGCGGUAGAGAGGUGCUUGCAUCUCUUGAGAGCGGCGGACGGGUGAGUAAUGCCUAGGAAUCUGCCUAGUGGUGGGGGAUAAACGUUCGGAAACGGACGCUAAUACCGCAUACGUCCUACGGGAGGAAAGCGGGGGAUCUUCGGACCUCGCGCCAUUAGAUGAGCCUAGGUCGGAUUAGCUAGUUGGUGAGGUAAUGGCUCACCAAGGCGACGAUCCGUAACUGGUCUGAGAGGAUGAUCAGUCACACUGGAACUGAGACACGGUCCAGACUCCUACGGGAGGCAGCAGUGGGGAAU
rnacentral:rRNA from 1 species